CAGUGGAGAGAGAAGGCCGCCUAGGUUUUCUUUGAACGCCACAGUUCGAGCUCGCUGCGAGGACUUUUCGGUAGAUUAUAUUUCGGACAGAUUGUUCUAAAUUAUUGAUAAAGAUAUAAAAAGCGUUGUUUUGAUAGGGUUUGUUUUUUCGAGGAACGGCCCGACCUCAGCGUGUCGGCGGCCAUGUUGGUUAGCUGCGGCUGAAACACGGCGCCAGGAGUUAGCAUCAGAUGGAGAAGGAUUUGAGGGGAAAAUGGCGCCGAAGAGGAAAUGGAGAGAAAUGGAGAGUGACUUCAAUCAAGCGGGAAUCUGUUGGAUUCAUCAUCCAAAGAUUUGGCCACUAGAGGGGGCAAUGCGACAACCAGUUGAGGAAAAGCAACCCAGCCUUUUAUCGGGCUGAACUUUGGUACCAGAACCGACCCGAGGUUCUGCGGCUCGUUGGACCUGCAGCUUGGAUCUGGGACAAACUGGAAAUAAAGACAUUUCUGCAGACUUCUCUGGGUGCGGAGCAGCCAAAGGCGACCGGAACCACUGGGACUGUUGUGCCAGAUAAAUGCUGGGCUCUGAAUUCACGCAGUUCCUGUUUUCCUCCAAACUCUGCUGGAUUUCCACAUUUUUGUGUGGAUUCUUUUUCUUCCCAGGCUCAUAUUGUGUCUGCAUGUAUCUAAAAUAAACCCUGUAAAGCCUGA